UUAACGGAGAGUUUGAUCCUGGCUCAGGACGAACGCUGGCGGCGUGCCUAAUACAUGCAAGUCGAGCGGACAGAAGGGAGCUUGCUCCCGGACGUUAGCGGCGGACGGGUGAGUAACACGUAGGUAACCUGCCCCUUAGACUGGGAUAACUCCGGGAAACCGGAGCUAAUACGGGAUAAUAAAGAGAAUCACCUGAUUUUCUUUUGAAAGACGGUUUCGGCUGUCACUAAGGGAUGGGCCUGCGGCGCAUUAGCUAGUUGGUAAGGUAACGGCUUACCAAGGCGACGAUGCGUAGCCGACCUGAGAGGGUGAUCGGCCACACUGGGACUGAGACACGGCCCAGACUCCUACGGGAGGCAGCAGUAGGGAAUCUUCCGCAAUGGACGAAAGUCUGACGGAGCAACGCCGCGUGAGUGAGGAAGGCCUUCGGGUCGUAAAGCUCUGUUGUGAGGGAAGAACAAGUACCGGGGUAACUACCGAUACCUUGACGGUACCUCACCAGAAAGCCACGGCUAACUACGUGCCAGCAGCCGCGGUAAUACGUAGGUGGCAAGCGUUGUCCGGAAUUAUUGGGCGUAAAGCGCGCGCAGGCGGCUUCUUAAGUCUGAUGUGAAAUCUCGGGGCUCAACCCCGAGCGGCCAUUGGAAACUGGGGAGCUUGAGUGCAGAAGAGGAGAGUGGAAUUCCACGUGUAGCGGUGAAAUGCGUAGAUAUGUGGAGGAACACCAGUGGCGAAGGCGACUCUCUGGUCUGUAACUGACGCUGAGGCGCGAAAGCGUGGG
rnacentral:rRNA from 1 species